CACGUAGGGUGCGAGCGUUGUCCGGAAUUAUUGGGCGUAAAGAGCUCGUAGGCGGUGUGUCGCGUCGGCCGUGAAAACCUGCAGCUAACUGUGGGCUUGCGGUCGAUACGGGCAUCGACUGGAGUUCGGCAGGGGAGACUGGAAUCCUGGUGUUAGCGGUGAAAUGCGUAGAUAAUCUGGAGGAACACCGGUGGCGAAGGCGAGCAAUCC
rnacentral:rRNA from 1 species